rnacentral:rRNA from 1 species
ACGAACGCUGGCGGCGUGCUUAACACAUGCCAGUCGAACGGUGAAGCGCCUUCCUUUUUGGUGGGUGUGGAUGAGUGGCGAACGGGUGAGUAACACGUGAGUAACCUGCCCCCUUCUUCUGGAUAACCGCAUGAAAGUGUGGCUAAUACGGGAUAUUCUGGGUCUGUCGCAUGAUGGGUCUGGGAAAGAUAUUGUUUCGGUGGGGGAUGGGCUCGCGGCCUAUCAGCUUGUUGGUGUGGUGAUGGCCUACCAAGGCGGUGACGGGUAGCCGGCCUGAGAGGGUGGACGGUCACACUGGGACUGAGACACGGCCCAGACUCCUACGGGAGGCAGCAGUGGGGAAUAUUGCACAAUGGGCGCAAGCCUGAUGCAGCGACGCCGCGUGAGGGAUGGAGGCCUUCGGGUUGUGAACCUCUUUCGCCAGUGAAGCAGGCCUGCCUCGUUUGUGGGUGGGUUGACGGUAGCUGGAUAAGAAGCGCCGGCUAACUACGUG